rnacentral:rRNA from 1 species
CCCUUAGAUGUCCUGGGCCGCACGCGCGCUACACUGAUGCAUUCAACGAGUCUAAAACCUGGUCUGAUAGGGCUGGGUAAUCUUUUGAAUGUGCAUCGUGAUUGGGAUAGAUGAUUGCAAUUCUUCAUCUUCAACGAGGAAUGCCUAGUAAACGCAAGUCAUCAGCUUGCAUUGAUUACGUCCCUGCCCUUUGUACACACCGCCCGUCGCUCCUACCGAUUGAAUGUUCCGAUGAAUACCAUGGACUGAGAGUAUGAAUGGGUUCGCCUAUUUCUGCUUCUCGGGAAGUGGAGCAAAUCUUAACAUCUAGAGGAAGGAGAAGUCGUAACA